UGGAGUUAUUGAUAAUCACUUGAACUCUAU
rnacentral:piRNA from 1 species